AAUUUGAAGGCAAUGGAUGGAACUAGAAAAAAAUCAUCCAGACCCAUAAAGACAAACAUGAUUGGUGCCUAGCCCAAUUGUCAUCAGAGAGGCUUCAUCCAGAAACUGAUGGAAACAACCAAACUUCAGGUGGAGCUUUAGGAAUCCUAAAGAAGAAGGGGGAAAAAAAGAUUGUAGGAGCCAAAGAGGUCAAGGACACCACAAGAAAUCCCACAGAAUCAACUAGCCUGGGCUCAUAAGAACUCACAGAGACUGAGCCAACAAUCAGUGACCUAGGCACUUUGCAAGAUGUGUAGCUUGGUUCUCUUGUGGAACUUCCAACAAUGGGAGCAGAGGCUGUCUCUGACUCUUUUACUAGCUUUUGGGACCCUACUCACCAUACUGGGUUGCCCUGCCCAGUCUUAAUACAAGAUUACCAAGUUAUAUUUUCCCAUAGACACCAGUUUCUGGUGAUCAAUCACUAGUUGUCAAUCACUUUUGAGGACUAGCUGCCUCAGAACCUUAAAUGCAGACUGCUGAUCUGAACAAGGGGGCGUUCAUGGACCCCAGACUGAUGACUGAGAGGCCAGCAUGGGACUGAUCCAGAAACCCUGAACAUGGGUGUCA